rnacentral:lncRNA from 1 species
AAGAGUAAAGUACUUCCGCUUCCUUAGGUGGAGCUGGAAAGGUGGAGGCGGAAGUGACUGAUCAAUUCAGGGGCGUGGGGUUCGUUUAGGUUUUGCCCUGUGUAUGACCUCGUUUGGAGCCAUGAAACCAGAGAACUUGAAUACAGCAAUCAACAGAUGUCACUAUUGACCUCUGAAAAUAAAGGAGGAAGAGGAGAAAGACAGUGUGGAGGUGGGAUUGGACAAAGGCAUGAUCCUUGGAGGAAAGGUUAUUUUAGGGCAAUGAUGGAAAGCACCAAGUGGAGUCUGGAGCUAGACUGAUCUGUGUUCAAUCCUGUCUUGGUUACUCAUUGGGGGGCCUCGACUUUCAUGUCUCUGUAAUGUCCCUGACAGUAUCUGCCUCACAGGGUUGCUGUGAGAGUCAAGCGAGAUGUCUGAGGAAUAGUCUUAGUGGAUUAUCCCAAACUUGACACAUUUUUUGCAAAAUGCUAUACAAAAAGAAGAUACAUGCGAUUAUGACAAGAUUCUCCACUUGGUGUGACCAGUCUCAUACAACCCAAGGCUGUGUGUCCAAAGGCAACUGUACUGAUCUUGACAAUAAUCAAAAGGUAGCCAGGUGCAUCGGGGAAAGCACUGACAUUGGAGUCAGACAGACUGAAGUUCAUAUCUGAUUCUGCUAUAUGACAACGUGUGGGCUAUGUGGCUAACUUCUCAGAGCUUCAGUUUUCUCAAGGGCAAAAUGAAAAUAAUAGAAAUAAUAGAAUCCACCUCACAGGGCUGUGGUGAGAAUUGGAGAUGAAGCACAUACAGCAUAUUACAUCAACUAAACACAUGCUAAAAAUUAAAGGGGAUGAAAGAUACAUUGGUCCCUGCAGUGGGAAGUUUCCUUGACAAUGCAAUUAUUGAUUCCAGAAGGCUGAACAAAUGUUGACAGAGGAACACACUGUUUGCUUAUGUCUAAUCUUCCCAUCUGACUUAUAUAAAUGUCACAAAUGAAUCUCAGACAUGUGCCCAAUAUCAAAUAUCCAUACGAUGGCCCUGGAAAGAGGCAAUCUACAUUUAUGGCUGAUGAGAAGAUGGAUUUUUAGCUUGAAAGAAACUUAUUACUGGGGAGAGGAAGUAUAAAUGAAUGGAGAGAGCUAUGAAGAGGUUGAGAGAAUACAGCCAAGGCACAUGACAGAAUUGCUCUGUUGAAGUUUUGCAAGGUCAAAUGACUCACUUUGUCUAAUGGAACGGGAACGAACAAUUUUUUUGUGUCACGUUUGAACAGAUACCUUUGAGAAGUUUAUGAUUCUCCAAGUUCUCUUUCUCCUACUGUGGCACCUACUGACAAGAUAAAUGUGUAGAGGUUCCUGAGUCUAGGGGCACUGGAACCAGCUGACUGAUCUAUGGAAGUUCCCUUGGUCUCCAUUUGUUUAGAAAAGGGAUGAAGAAACUGAGGCCCACAGAAGGUGGGUGAUACCUGCAAAAUCACAAGCUUUCAUGGUGAAAGAAGAGGGCAAAACUCAACCCGUCUCUUUAGACUUGGGAAGAAUAUGAAAGGACCAGGAGGGACACCUUUCCUAAUAACCUAGCUGAUGGUUCACUUAUUGUAAGCACAUUCUCAAACAAGAGGCUGGAAAGCUGAAAAAUGACAUUCCCAGACUCCAUUGAAAUUAGAUUUCCAGAGGUGAUUUAUGUUCCACACAUCAGAUGUAUAUGCUCAAGAUUUGUUUAACAGGGAAGGAGGCAGUGGUGUGUGGGUCCCUUUUGCUCAUGUGAAUCUUACAGAGUUGUCUCACUAAGCCCAAAUUUGUCUAACUGGCCUUAUUUCCCUGGAGUAUAUCCUGGAAGUUUCCAUUCAAGCCAAUUUAAGUUACUUUAAAUUAGGAAAGGCAGAAAACAAAAGCCCAAACCUUUGUAAAGGAGGAGGAUUUGCUACAUUGUUCUCAAUUCAUCACAGAAGAGGAUGAAACUGAGUGAUUACACUUGCUGGAGAGAAAAAAAGUCCUUCCCCCGCUCACCCCAAAUAAAGCAUUAACUUUAUGUUAAUCCAUGAA